rnacentral:rRNA from 1 species
AGCGAACGCUGGCGGCAGGCCUAACACAUGCAAGUCGAGCGGACGUAGCAAUACGUCAGCGGCAGACGGGAGAGUAACACGUGGGAACGUACCCUUUGGUUCGGAACAACCCAGGGAAACUUGGGCUAAUACCGGAUAAGCCCUCACGGGGAAAGAUUUAUCGCCGAAGGAUCGGCCCGCGUCUGAUUAGCUAGUUGGUGGGGUAAUGGCCCACCAAGGCGACGAUCAGUAGCUGGUCUGAGAGGAUGAUCAGCCUCACUGGGACUGAGACACGGCCCAGACUCCUACGGGAGGCAGCAGUGGGGAAUAUUGGACAAUGGGCGCAAGCCUGAUCCAGCCAUGCCGCGUGGGUGAUGAAGGCCCUAGGGUUGUAAAGCCCUUUCGGCGGGGAAGAUAAUGACGGUACCCGCAGAAGAAGCCCCGGCUAACUUCGUGCCAGCCGCCGCGGUAA